rnacentral:lncRNA from 1 species
AGGGCGUGUGAAGCACGUGGGCCGUUCAGACGAGGAGAAACGCAAGCUAACUCAUACAGCUGUGCCUUCUGUGCCUGCGAACUUGACCAUGGAGUGAUGGUAUGAUCUCUUCAAAAGAACUGCCUUCUGAUUUCUUCUCCACACUCCAUAGAUACUGAAGAGUCAAGAUUAAUGGCGCUCUAACCUUCUCAAAGCACCCAAGUUCUGGCAGUGCUCCACUCAACCCCACCCCUCCUGCUGAUAUCCUUCUGGCAGAAGCAAGGGGUGGCCGAGAGCCUUCAAAACAGUUCCCCACAACUUUUUCACAGCUUCUAUUACCUCUUCUGAAUGCAUCUGGAAAGGUACAGAUGAAGAGAGAAUACCUCCACAAGUCUACUGGAUCUAGAUGGCAUAAUUACAGAAGAGUAAGAGGAUGAGUCCCAGACCUGAACAACUGGUAAAUAUUUCAGAUACCAAUAUCAACUUCUUAGCCAGGCAACAGGGAAAGGAGCAAAAUAGGAUUUCUCAAGCAACCAGAUGUUCCACAAAGCACUGAGAGGUAGGCAGAUGUUUGCUACAUUAAACUUGCCUCUAAGAAAACAAUGGGAGAACAUUUUAAAAUUCUUAUGCAAAUUUCACUCAUUCAACUCUUUCUCAGAGGCCUGGGGACAAUGAAAAAAAUAAAAAGGAAGAUAAUUCACAUGCUCAUCUCAAUAUGAUACUCAUCAAAAUACUUCUCGCCUUUCUCCAUAGGGAUUGUGCAAAGCUGAUUCACGCUUAGUCCUCAGUAAAUCUCUCUAAGCCUGAAGAAGUUAAAGAAAGCAUUAAAUCCAUGAUACUUUAACAAGGGUGAGGUAUCC